GACGAACGCUGGCGGCGUGCUUAACACAUGCAAGUCGAGCGGUAAGGCCCUUUCGGGGGUACACGAGCGGCGAACGGGUGAGUAACACGUGGGUGACCUGCCCUCAGCUCUGGGAUAAGCCCGGGAAACUGGGUCUAAUACCGGAUAUGACUCCACGGUGCAUGUCGUGGGGUGGAAAGCCUUGUGCGGCUGAGGAUGGGCCCGCGGCCUAUCAGCUUGUUGGUGGGGUGAUGGCCACCAAGGCGACGACGGGUAGCCGGCCUGAGAGGGCGACCGGCCACACUGGGGACUGAGACACGGCCCAGACUCCUACGGGAGGCAGCAGUGGGGAAUCUUGCGCAAUGGGCGAAAGCCUGACGCAGCGACGCCGCGUGAGGGAUGAC
rnacentral:rRNA from 1 species